GCGGCUGUGGAUCAGGUGGUAGAGCGGGUUGUCCUCUAAUCGUAGGGUUGGCGGUUCGAUUCCCGCGGGCCGCA